rnacentral:rRNA from 1 species
AGGAUAAACGCUGGCGGCGUGCCUAACACAUGCAAGUCGAACGUCCUACGCAAGUAGGGAGUGGCGGACGGGUGAGUAACACGUGGGCAAUCUACCUUUCGGUGAGGAAUACCGGCGAGAAAUCGCCGACAAUACCGCAUACGCUUCGCAAGAAGCAAAGUCGCAAGACGCCGGAGGAGGAGCCUGCGCCCGAUUAGCUGGUUGGUGAGGUAAGAGCUCACCAAGGCGACGAUCGGUAGCUGGUCUGAGAGGAUGAUCAGCCACACUGGGAUUGAGAACGGCCCAGACUCCUACGGGGGCAGCAGUGAGGAAUUUUCGUCAAUGGGGGAAACCCUGAACGAGCAACGCCGCGUGCAGGAUGACGCUUCUCGGAGUGUAAACUGCUUUUCUCGGGGAAGAGAACGGACGGUACCCGAGGAAUCAGCCCCGGCUAACUACGUGCCAGCAGCCGC